UACAACACACUCAUUUUAAAAUAAAUUAAAAUAAAAAAUUAUUUAUUUAUAAUUUAAUGAAAUAACGUAAAUAAAAUAUUAUUUAGAAUGUUCUAACAAAUGGUUCACAAGUAAUUAUAGGUAAAACUCAAGGAUAAGAAUGUAAUUGACCCUAGGGUUCUUUCAAUCACCAAUUAUAUAGAACCCAUCUCAUGACUUCUUAACCAACCAAAAUAAUUAUCAUGGCGAGAUUGUUAGAGAGAAAGAGAGGGUUAGAGGAAGUUCAUGGAGAUGGGUGAGUAGGCGAAAAGAAGAGGCAUCAAGAAAAGCAUGUGUGUGCUGUAAUCUGGUCUCUUUCUUCAGUUCAUAAAAGAAAGAUUUUUGUUUUGGCUGAGUCGUAUAUUUUUGCCUACACCACCCAUUCCAUCCACUUCCUUGAACUUCCCUCUUUCUCUUUUUACUUCCAUAUCUUUGAAUGACAGGGAAUCGGAAGAAAGACAAGGAUAAGAAGUAAAGGGAGAGGGGUGCUGGGAGUUAUAGGUAUGGGGGGAUCGGGCAAUAUUGCUUUUGCUUUUUCAUCAGCAAAAUGGUAAUUCUUCCCGAGACCUCCCAUACCAUUGACCUCCAGCAAUUUUCCUCCCCUUCCUUGGCUUGUCCUGCUGGUUAUUUCAUUUUCUUGGAAAUCUUGUCAAGUCUGAUCAGAUCUACAAGCUUAGAAAAGAGAGAAACAAAAAAUGAAAGAACUUGAGCGAAAUGCAAGGGAGCUUCGAUUAUGGAGUCCGUUCCCGAAUUCCGGUCAGAGCCCUCCAGAAAUGCCCUCCGAUUCAUGGUUUUCAUCCACCUGAGGUUGAUUGGAGCCCUCCUCCAAGCUAGAUGCCCUCUGAAGCUUUGUUGAGUUUAUGUUCUUUCAAUAGAAAAAUAACAGGAGAAUGUCAAGGUUUCUGUUGAAGCACCCAAUACCUGCAUAACUCAGCAGGCAAAGACCAAUAUUAAGGACCAACAGUCUUUAACUGCUGGUCAAGGCCUCAGAUAUCAAGAUCAUCAAAGGCCUAGUGAGGGAAAAGGAGCAACACCUCUUCCCUAAGGGAAAAGGCUGCUUCUACCUUUCCUUACACAAAAAAUUACCGUUGCUACAAGUGUAUAUAACAGGAUACACACUUCUUUUAUAAAUUCAGAAUUCUUAAUCAUCAUUUUAUCAAUAAAAUCUCAGUUCUUCUA